rnacentral:rRNA from 1 species
GACGAAAGCUGGCGGCGUGCUUAACACAUGCAAGUCGAGCGGAGCGGCGAACGGGUGAGUAACGCGUGAGUAACUGCCCCCCUCUCUGGGAUAACAGUAGGAAACGGCUGCUAAUACCGGAUAGUGGGGGAUGACUCGCGUCCUAUCAGCUUGUUGGUGGGGUAGUUGCCUACCAAGGCAACGAAGGGUAGCCGGCCUGAGAGGUCGACCGGCCACAUUGGGCUGAGAUACGGCCUAAACUCCUACGGGAGGCAGCAGUGGUGAAUAGUGCACAAUGGGGGAAACCCUGAUGCAGCAACGCCGCGUGCGGGAUGACGGCCUUCGGGUGGUAAACCGCUUUCAGCCAAGACGCGGUAGUGGCAGAAGAAGCACCGGCUAACUCCGUGCCAGCAGCCGCGGUAAUUC